rnacentral:lncRNA from 1 species
AUGGUUUUCUGCCUGAAAUGUUGCCGGGUUUCCUCUGUUUAUACCCUGAUGCCAGUUUGGUGUCGGUUCCUGGAUUCAUGUGAUUCUCUUGCACCUUCAGCUUCAAUCCGUGUCCCAACUCUCCUUAGGGAAGGUCUUUCUAUUCCUCUUCACACAGCUCUGGUGAGGGAAGUGGCUGCUCUGCAAGAGAGGAUGGAGAAACUCGCCAGAUCUCCAGGAUUUACCCAGAAUUGGGCAGGAAAGGAACAGAGUCAUUCCAAACUCAGCAGCAGCACCUGCAAGGCAGCCUUGACCCCGUGCCCACCUGGAGCAGCCCUGACAGCGAGGCCGGACAGGGAGGAGCAGCUUCUCUGCCAUGUUUUCAGCAGGAUCAACCUGAUACCUUCGGUUUGAACUUUCACAUUUUUCAAGCCCUUCACUGCCUGCUGUGUAACUCUGGAGUUUCCUGGAGCCUGUUCACUUCUGCUCUCUCGUGCCAGGCAGACACAACAAAGCCUCUCUGGGCCUGCUCUCCAAGGAUGCUCAGACCAUCCUAGGCCCAAAAUGCGUAAACCAAAAGCCUCUGAAGGGGGGUGUAAGCUUGGGGAAAUUACAUCACUAACUGAACCUUUAAUCGGAGAGUUAUUUGCUAUGCAAAUGAACCAAACUAUAAAAGUGUGAAGAACUCGUGAGCUGUCGCCCACCUUGGGGUCCAUCUCAGCAGUGGCCUCUGGACUCCCCAGGGGGUACCUUUGCAAGCCCUUUGAAUAAAUACCUCCCUUUAUUCCCUUAUUCCUGUCCAGGCUCUGUUUUUAGAUGGCCUCUUCAGGCAUCAAACCCAGGGAUGCUGCUGGGAUCAAGUGUGGGAAAACCUGUGCUGCUCCAGCCCCCCUGCCCCGCUGGCAGCAGCUCCAGCCCUGUGUGGGUAAAACCCUGCCGGGAGCGUUGGCAUUCCAGGGCAUUUCUCUAAACUGGGCCCAAAUCUCUGACGUUCCUUGGGUUGUGCUGAAUUCCAGGUUUGGUUCCAGGACCUGUUUUGAAACAGCAGCAGCUCAGCGUGGAUUUGUGUUGGGCCAACACUUCACCCAAAAUAUCCCUCGGAAUGCUCACUUCAGAACAAUUAGACAGCAGGAACAGACUUGAUUAUUUAUUUUCUCAGCCCUUGCAGCAGAGAGAAGCUGUUUGGGGUUAUUUUAAGCUUUUCUCUGUGCACGGGGCGGCCCUGCUGAGUGUCUCUGCUGCUGGAAACACACAGAGCACAUUCCAGGGCUCAGGACACUUUGUCACCUUGGAAAGAAAUGCCUUUCCCUUGGGGGGACUGUGCAAUGCGCAUCUAUAGAAUAAUAUUCUAAUUUGAAAAUAAUUGGAAGGAGAUACUCUUGGCAUUGGAAGUCAGAGAGAAUAAAAAGGAGUUUGGGUUAAUGUGACAGAGCACUUUUAAUGCCUGCAAGCGGGUGGGAACAAUAAAGAACUUCUGGGACUUUAAU